UAUAUGAUUUUUUUUUCUGCUCAGGAUGAACGCUGGCGGUCUGCUUAACACAUGCAAGUCGAACGGAAUCCUUCGGGAUUUAGUGGCGGACGGGUGAGUAACACGUGAGAAUCUGCACUCAGGAUGGGGACAACAGCGGGAAACUGCUGGUAAUACCCAAUGUGCCGAAAGGUAAAAGAUUUAUCGCCUGAGAAUGAGCUCGCGGCCGAUUAGUUAGUUGGUGGGGUAAUGGCCUACCAAGACGGCGAUCGGUAGCUGGUUUGAGAGGAUGAGCAGCCACCCUGGGAAUGAGACCCGGCCCCGACUCCUACGGGAGGCAGCAGUGGGGAAUUUUUCGCAAUGGGCGCAAGCCUGACGGAGCAAGACCGCGUGGGGGAGGAAGGCUUUUGGGUUGUAAACCCCUUUUUUCAAGGAAGAACAAAAUGACGGUACUUGAGGAAUCAGCCUCGGCUAACUCCGUGCCAGCAGCCGCGGUAAUACGGAGGAGGCAAGCGUUAUCCGGAAUUAUUGGGCGUAAAGCGUCCGUAGGUGGUGGGGCAAGUCGGCGGUUAAAGACUGGGGCUUAACUCCAGAAAGGCCGUGGAAACUGCACCACUAGAGGGCAGUAGGGGUAGAGGGAAUUCCCGGUGUAGCGGUGAAAUGCGUAGAGAUCGGGAAGAACACCAGUGGCGAAAGCGCUCUACUGGACUGCAACUGACACUCAGGGACGAAAGCUAGGGGAGCGAAUGGGAUUAGAUACCCCAGUAGUCCUAGCCGUAAACGAUGAUAGCUAGGGUACCC
rnacentral:rRNA from 1 species